rnacentral:lncRNA from 1 species
UGUUAGGCAAUUUUGUUGUCAAACGACCUCCCCGGGCGAUGAUGUAACCUCGGUUGUUUAUUAUCAAUCGGCCUCGGCCUAAUGAUUGAUUAGUACAUCGACACAAUCAACGAGACAACACAAUCCACUUUGUUAUGGACCGUUCGAAGUAACCUAUUUUAUAGUGUUGCUCACGGUUCCCGCACCAUUCCUUGGAAGGCUAUUUUAUUAUUAUUGAGGCCCAAUUAUUUGAGUCGAGCCUAGUUUGUUGAUCCGACAAUUAACCCUAAUUGUAACAUACCUAUUUUGGACAAAAUGCUUGGCAUAUAAUCCCCUCAUUCUCUCGGCCUCCAUUAGAGUGAAAUAAUCCCCUCUUUGUGAGUUCUCUCUCUCGGCCUCUCCUUCCCCGUUUCACUGUGACCUUUGUGGUUAACAUAUUGUGGGUAUAUUCUUGGUCUUCUCGUUCCCAAUUGAUAGCAACCGGAUCGGUGGCGGCAUAGGGUGGUGUUGGAGUUGUCUCAAGUUUUGGUGUCGAUGUUUUUGGUAAACUGAGCCCGAUUUUGCACGUGUUGGCUGUGGAAUUCUGCCCUACAUCUGGUAUCAGAGCCAGUAGAAGCUUUCCUGGCCUGAAAAUUGACACAAACCUGCGGCAAUCGCGAUUUGGGUUUGAAGAACUGUGGCUGCAACCUUAUUUUCCGGCCAAUCCAGCCACUUUCGACGAAACCGAUCCCAUAUUCGGGAUCAGCAGGCUGAGGCGCUCCCUCGGNNNNNNNNNNNNNNNNNNNNNNNNNNNNNNNNNNNNNNNNNNNNNNNNNNNNNNNNNNNNNNNNNNNNNNNNNNNNNNNNNNNNNNNNNNNNNNNNNNNNNNNNNNNNNNNNNNNNNNNNNNNNNNNNNNNNNNNNNNNNNNNNNNNNNNNNNNNNNNNNNNNNNNNNNNNNNNNNNNNNNNNNNNNNNNNNNNNNNNNNNNNNNNNNNNNNNNNNNNNNNNNNNNNNNNNNNNNNNNNNNNNNNNNNGGGUUUAAAAUCAGUUUUGUAAUUCUUAGUGAUCAAAAUUACUGUGGGACUAGUUAUCUGCUAGACGUAUUUUUUGCUGCACUAUUAUUUCCGCUGCUUACUGAUUCCGUUAGAAAUACCGUGACUUUACCCUUUCGAACAUUCCCUUGAUCUAAGACCGUGAGUCUUACGAAACCCUGGGAAUCUAGAACGGUGUAUAUUAUCCGUGACCCGUAGGACUACUUUGUGUGGUUUGAUUGUGGUUUGUGCAUUUUUUGGCUAUUGUGUGAGGAUGACAACUCAUAGUUUUGAUUUGGGAAUUUUUAACGGAAAGGGUGACUUUGCUAUUUGGCAACAAAAAAUGAAGGGUAUUUUAGUCCAACAAAAGGUUUCAAAAGCCAUUGAAGGCAAUUUUUCAACUGAUUUUUCACAAGAACAAAGAGAAGAAGCCGAUGAGCUUGCUUAUACCUCAAUUAUCUUAUACUUGUCUGACGCUGUUUUAAGAAAGGUGGGUAAAUUAAAAAAUACCAAAAAACUUUAAAAGAAAUUAGAAGACUUGUAUUUGCUUAAGUCUACACCUAAUAAGCUUUACCUGCUUGAACGUUUUUUCAGUUUUAAAAUGGAUUCCUCAAAGGAUAUUGAUGACAAUCUAGACUUGUUUAACAAAUUGGUGCAAGACAUAGUUAAUUGCGAUGAGACUGUGUUCAAAACUUAUAAGGCUAUAAUUUUGCUAAAUGCAAUCCCUGAUUCCUAUAAGGAAGUUAAGAAUGCCAUUAAGUAUGGUAGAGACACGUUAACACCUGAAAUUGUCAUAGAUUCCCUUAGAAGUAAAGAAAUGGAAAUUAAGGCUGAAAAACAUGAUAAAAGGAAUGGUGAAGUACAUAUGAUGCGGGGUAGAACUCAAUUUAGGCAAAAUAGUCAUGAGGGAUAUCAAACUAGUGGCGAGGCAAGUGGUAAUGGAUGGAAAAAGAAGAGCAAAGGUAGGUUUAGAUCAAAAUCUAGAACUAAAGCGAGAAAAUGCUAUGGUUGUAAAAACACGGGGCAUUUUAUAAAGGAUUAUCAUAAGGAGAAGGGUAAGCUAAAAGUUAAGAAGAGAUAUGAUGUAAAUGUGUUAGCAUCUACUUCUGAUAUAAAUGGUGGUGAGGUCUAUAUGAUUACAAGUCCAGCUGCAUACACUGCUGAAUUAAAUCUAACUGCUAAUUCCAGUAUCCAUGAGUGGAUACUUGAUUCUGGUACAUCUUUUCAUGUGACGUCUGAAAAGAACUGGUUUUGUAAGUUGCAUGAAUAUAAAGUUGGGCAUGUUGUGCUGUGUGAUAACUUUGCCUAUACUAUCACUGGAAUUGGUGAUAUAAACGUAAAAUUUGACACGGGUUUUGUGUAUACGUUAAAGGAUGUUAGAUAUAUUCCUGAAUUGUCUAGGAAUUUGAUUUCAGUAGGGAGACUUGAGAAGGAUGACUUUACUGGUAAAAUUGGAAAUGGUAUGCUAAAAAUGAUCAAGGGUGCUUUAGUUUCCAUUAAGGGAAUUAAGAAAAACGAUAUAUACAUUACUAAUGGGGAAGUGAUUAGAGAUAUGAAUUCCUCUAUCUCCUCUAUCAAGAUUGAUCACACACACACAUGGCACAAUAAGCUUGCUCACGUAGGAGUCAAGGGACUUAAGCUACUUAAUGAAAAGGGUGUUUUUGGUAAUGACUGUGUGUCAGAUUUGCCAUUUUGUGAUCAUUGUGUGCUUGGCAAGCAUCACAAAACUUCUUUCUCCACGAGUGUUAAUAGAGCUAAAGGCAUGCUCGAAUAUGUGCACUCUGACCUUUGGGGCCCUGCCAGUAACCCCACAUCGGGUGGUAAUAGGUAUUUCCUGUCUAUUAUUGAUGACUACACUAGGAAAGUGUGGGUCUAUCUUUUGAAGGAUAAAUCUGAGACCUUCAAUAGUUUCAAUAAUUGGAAGAGACAAGUGGAGAACCAGACUGGCAAGAAAACCAAAUUUUUAAGGACUGAUAAUGGCCUAGAAUUCUGCAAUAAGAAUUUGAUAGUAUGUGUAAAGAAAGCGGCAUAACUAGACAUAAGACUGUUCCCUACACCCCUCAGCAAAAUGGGGUAGCAGAAAGGAUAAAUAGAACCAUGCUUGAUAAAGUACGUUGCAUGAUGAUCAGUUCGGGUGUUCCCAAGUCAUUUUGGGGUGAAGCUGUUAUGACAGCUUGCUAUUUGAUUAACCUUACACCCUCUGCUGCAUUGAAUGGUGAUACUCCACAUGAGAGAUGGUCGGGUAAACUGAGUGAUUACUCGAUACUUAGAACUUUUGGCUGUACAGCGUUUUCUCAUCAAAGUGAGGGAAAGUUGGAACCUAGAGCUAGGAAGUGUGUUUUUUAGGAUACCCCGAAGGUAUUAAGGGUCAUAGAUUAUGGGAUAGAAGCCAAAACGGAGUUAAAAUCAUCAUAAGUAGAGAUGUCACGUUUAACGAAAAAGAAAUGCCGUGUAUUAAAGGGAAAACUGAACCCGAGAGUGAGGUAGAAUCGGGUGAAGAGAGAGACCAAUUUAAGGUGGAGUUAGGAAAACUCAGUCCACCUGCCCCUACUGUCUCAAAUGAGGUGGAGACUCAAACUCAGGAACCCGAAGUGGAAAAUAGUAAUGAAAUAGUGACAGAAGAGCACUAUGAGGAAGAGAAUCCCUUAGCUAACUAUAACUUAGUUAGAGAUAGAGAGAGGAGACAGUCGAGGGAACCUAGAAGGUUUGGUUUUGAAUCUGAAUUAGCUUUUGCUCAGGCUAGUUAUGAAGAACUAACUGAUAAAGAGCUAAAGACUUUUGAAGAAGCAAUAGGCAGUGAUCAAUCUAAUGAAUGGCUUAAGGCAAUGAAAGAAGAGAUGAGUUCUCUGGAAAAGAAUCAUUCUUGGGAGCUAGUACCUAGGCCUAAGAAUAAAUCAAUUGUUGAUUGCAAAUGGGUUUUUAAGGUUAAGGAAGGAACUAGCAGUUUGGAACCCCUAAGGUUUAAAGCUAGGUUUGUGGCUAAAGGCUACACACAGAAGGAGGGCGUUGAUUAUAAUGAAAUUUUCUCACUAGUUGUUAAGUUCACCACUAUUAGGGUCAUGCUCGCAUUAGUUGCACAAUUUGACUGGGAACUUGAACAACUUGACUUAAAAACUGCUUUCUUACAUGGUGAGCUUGAUGAACAAAUUUUCAUGAAUCAACCUAAAGGCUUUAAGGAUAAGUCAAAACCUGAUUAUGUGUGUUUUCUGAGAAGGUUCUUGUAUGAGCUAAAACAAUCUCCUAGACAGUGGUACAAGAGGUUUGAUUCCUUUGUACUCACUAUAGGAUUUCAAAGAAGUAAAUUUGAUCACUGCCUGUACUUUCAACACAAUGAGACUGAUGAUAAUUAUCUGUUUUUGUUGCUCUAUGUGGACGACAUGCUUUUGAUUGGAUCAUCCUCUAAGUGGAUAAAUAACAUAAAAAUAAAACUCAGUGGUGAAUUUGACAUGAAAGACCUAGGUAAGGCUAAGAGAAUCUUAGGUAUUGAAAUCGAAAGAGAUAGGUCAAAUUUUGUUUUGUUUUUGCAUCAGUCUCCAUAUAUAUCCAAAGUAUUGAAGAAGUUCAAUAUGAGUGAAUGCAAACCUGUCAUGUUGCCCCUUGCUAAUCAUUUUGUUUUAUCUAAGGAACAAUCUCCUUGCAAUGAGCGUGAAGUUGAAUACAUGAGUAGAGUACCUUACUCAAAUGUGAUUGGUUCCAUAAUGUAUUUGAUGGUUUGCACUAGACCUGAUUUAGGUUUUGCUGUUAGUACUCUCAGUAGAUAUAUGGCUAAUCCGGGACCUGAACAUUGGGAAGCGCUAAAGUGGCUGUUAAAGUACUUGAAGGGUACUAGUAACGUAGGCUUAAAGUUUAGUGCUAAUAGAGAAGGCAUAAAAUUAAAAGGUUUUGUAGAUGCUAACUAUGCGGGUGAUAAGGAUGGUAGGAAAUCUACUUCAUCUUACGUGUUUACCUUAUCUAAUUCAUGUGUAAGUUGGAAAUCACAGUUACAACAUAUUGUUGCACUAUCCACUUCAGAAUCAGAAUAUAUUGCCACCACUGAAGCUAUUAAAGAAGCUCUAUAACUUAGAGGUCUACUUCAUGAACUAUGUGUUCUGAAUGAUUAUGUGGUAGUGUAUUCUGAUAGUCAGUCAUCCAUACAUUUAUGCAAAAAUCCUGUUUUUGACGAGUGCACUAAACACAUUGAUGUUAGACUCCACUUCAUUAGAGAUAUAGUAUCUCAAGAGGUGGUAAGACUUGAGAAAGUUCAUACACACUACAACCCAUCUGAUAUGGGGACGAACGUACUGCCACUGGCAAAGUUUAGGAGUUGCAAGAAACUUCUAAACAUUGGUACCUGUAAAUGAUUUUCAAUUUUAUUGUGUUUCUAUUAGAGGUGUCACUAAUGGGAGACAAUUUUCUUUGCAGGUCCUUUGACACCAAGGUGGAGGUUGUUAGGCAAUUUUGUUGUCAAACGACCUCCCCGAGCGAUGAUGUAACCUCGGUUGUUUAUUAUCAAUCGACCUCGGCCUAAUGAUUGAUUAGUACAUCGACACAAUUAACGAGACAACACAAUCCACUUUGUUAUGGACCGUUCGAAGUAACCUAUUUUAUAGUGUUGCUCACGGUUCCAGCACCAUUCCUUGGAAGGCUAUUUUAUUAUUAUUGAGGCCCAAUUAUUUGAGUCGAGCCUAGUUUGUUGAUCCAACACUUAACCCUAAUUGUAACCUACCUAUUUUGGACAAUAUGCUUGGCAUAUAAUCCCCUCAUUCUCUCGGCCUCCAUUAGAGUGAAAUAAUCCCCUCUUUGUGAGUUCUCUCUCUCGGCC